GUGUCAGCAGCCGCGGUAAUACGUAGGCAGCAAGCGUUGUUCGGAGUUACUGGGCGUAAAGAGUGCGUAGGCGGUGCCCUAAGUCUGUUGUGAAAUCUCCCGGCUUAACUGGGAGGGUGCGGUGGAAACUGGGGUGCUUGAGUGUGGGAGAGGUAAGCGGAAUUCCUGGUGUAGCGGUGAAAUGCGUAGAUAUCAGGAGGAACACCGGUGGUGUAGACGGCUUACUGGACCACGACUGACGCUGAGGCACGAAAGCGUGGGUAGCAAACAGGAUUAGAUACCCUGGUAGUCCACGCCCUAAACGAUGCAUACUUGGUGUGAGCCAUUCAUUUGGUUCGUGCCGGAGCUAACGCGUUAAGUAUGCCGCCUGGGGAGUACGGUCGCAAGGCUGAA
rnacentral:rRNA from 1 species